GUUGCCAUAAAAUCAUCUAUGACAACGCUUUAUUGAAUAAAAAAAGCUAUUGCAGCGGUAUAACUAUUCCCACCAAAAAAUUUUGCUAAGUGCACCAACAAAAAACCCUUUAUUCUCCAAUCCGCCAAAAAAAAUCUUUCAUCACUUUUCAUCUAGCAUACUCUAAUCUGCCAAAAUUUUUUUACUAAGUCCGUUCCGCCACUGCUCCGACCACCAUACGUCGAUCACAAUACCGUUGCUCCGACCACCAUACGCCGACCAUCAUAUUUUUGCUCUGAACACCAUUCUCCUCUAAUUGUACCACUACUCCGACCAUCGUACCUUGAUUUCAAUGUUGCUCCGGCCACCACUGUGAGUAGGAAUAUGUAUUUGAAUUCUAAGUUGGGUAGGGUUGGGGUUUGAGGUGGGUUGGUGUCACAUUCUUUUUAUCAUGCCAGAUAUUUUCAUCUUUCCCUGUUUAACACUAAUCUUACAAAGUCAUCUUCUCCAUGUUACACAUUCUUUUUCUUUUCUUUUAAAUUCUUAAAUUUGCUCCAAUUUUCCUCUAAUUUGUAACUGGCAUUUAUCUAUGGUUUAAUUCAAUCACUAAGACAACUUGGUGUCUCUGUACCUAUCAAUUUUAGGUAUAGUUUCUGUUUUCGUAUUAUUUUUUAGGUAUUUUUAGCUCUAGGUUAGAAACAAACAAAAAACGAGUAUGGAUCGAGAAGGAGGAUCCUCCAGAUCUUGUUACUACUUUGGUACCUCCACAGGUUCUAGACAUAUCUUUAAGGACAAAUAUUACUAUGAUUUCUUCAAUGCAGCACUAAAAUUGCCUGCUCAUUUUACAUCAGGAGUUGUUGUUGCCUUUUAUUUAUCAAAUUCAGAUAUGUUCCCACAUAACCAUGAUGAAAUAGACUUUGAAUUACUUGGGCAUGAGAAGAUAAGGGAUUGGGUUCUGUAGAUAAAUCUUUAUGGAAAUGGAAGUGUUCACACAGGCAGAGAAGAAAAAUUCUACCUUUGGUUUGACCCAACACUGGAUUUCCACGACUAUACCAUCCUUUAGAACAAUUAUCACAUAGUGAAUCUGUACACUUGGGAACCUGCAGGUGUUAAAUCUUCAGGAUAACUUUAUAUAAGGUGUACUUGAUCCAUGCCUUGGUGGAAUGAUUUCUUUGGUUUCUUUAGAUCUUUAUUUCAAUCAUUUUGAGGGAACUAUUUCUUCAUCCAUAUUCAUCAACCUCACUCUGCUCAAGACUCUUCGUCUUUCACAUAAUAGGUUUUAUGGACUUCUCUUGUUUGCAUCAUUUGGUAACUUCUCCAGUCUUGAAGUCAUUGAUCUUACAAAUAAUGAGUUUGAAGUUGACACUGAAACUCUAUCUUGGGUUCCAUAUUUUCAACUUGUGUCCCUUGACUUACGAAAUACUAGACUGAACCAGAACUAUGGCCAUGCGAUUACUUUGUUCAUUGCCAAACAACACAAGUUGAAGUCCCUAUCGUUGUCCUAUAAUUCCCUUACAGAAAAUGUUCCCUCUUGGUUGUUGUAUAAUAAUACACUUCUUAUGUUGUCUUUGAGAAGCAACCGUUUGUGUGGUGGAAAUCCUGUGGCUUCUCAGUUUCAAGCAUCAACUCUGCUGAUGCUUGAUGUAUCAGAUAAUUUGUUAGGUAGUACACUUCCAUUAACGUGCGUGAAUAAUUUCCGAAAUUACUCUAUCUUAACCUGUCACAUAGCGCUCUCGAGGGCACCCUUGCUUCAUCUUUUGACAAUCUGCUAAAGUUAAAGGCGACAGAUCUUUCUGACAAUUUCUACGGGGAAAACUAACUCCACCUUUAUGACAAAAUAACACUUCAUUGGAACAAGGAACUCUGUGGACCUCCACUGGAAAAUGAGUGUGUAUUCUCGAGCCCUCCUUAGCAGCAUGAUGAAGAAGAAGAAGAAGAAGAAGAGGAAGACGAGAAGCAAGGUGACACCAAAAACAUUAGCUGAUGUCAAAGGUUGCACCCUAAUCUCAUACGACAGAAAAGUACAGUUUCUCUUUCUCUGAUAACUCAGUAAUCUCAUUAAAAAUCUGAUGCAAGAAGGUUUGGACAGGGAUGAAAAACCUGUUACUUGGAAUUAUUCAAGUGCGUCUAGUGCAACGAGUAUAUAUCAGCGUGGAAUCUUCCUAAAUCAUCAAAGAGGAAUUCGCUUUGUGUUUUACGUCAAGCAGUAGUUACUUCCAUAAUGACCAUGUGCAACUCAAGGUGGCCUCCUUACAAAUUAGGUGCUUUAUUUCAUGAGUGCCCAUACUAAGAAGCUAGAGAUGUUGUCCAUAGCUUUUGCGCGAAAUAGCAAUCUAAGCGUCUUCUACAUGCUCUUCAAUUGUGAAAUUCCUUUGUAUGUUACAGAUCAAAGGUACUCCUUCGGCGAUAAGGCUGUUGGUCAAUGCUGCAAGGAAGGAAACGAUAUGGUAUCUUUUGAUGUUUUCUUGUUCAGUAAGUUGUAGCACAUAUUGGCUGCUAGCUCAGAAAUUGCCAAGGAUUAAUUGUGAACUUUCAUUAUGCUUGUGUGUGUAAAUAGUUUUUGUACAACAUUUGGCAUCAUGUUCAAUAACAAGUGUUCUUAUAAA